rnacentral:rRNA from 1 species
CCCUGUGCAAAGGUAGCAUAAUCAUUUGUCUUUUAAUUGAAGGCUGGUAUGAAUGGUUUGACGAGAAAUAUGCUUUCUUAUAUUUAUUAUUUUGAAUUUAAUUUUUAAGUUAAAAAGCUUAAAUUUUUUUGUAGGACGAGAAGACCCUAUAGAGCUUUAUAAAUCUUAUUUUAUUUUAUUUUUGGUUUAUUAAAAUUUAAUAUAAUAGUAUUUAUUCCGUUGGGGUGACGUGAAAAAUAAUCUAGCUUUUCAUUUUUAUUUCAUAAAUUAAUGUGUUUUUGAUCCAGUUUUACUGAUUAUAAGAUUAAGCUACCUUAGGGAUAACAGCGUAAUUCUUUUGGAGAGUUGUUAUCGAUAAAAGAGUUUGCGACCUCGAUGUUGGAUUAAAAUAAGUGCUAGGUGCAGCCGCUUAGUAACUAGGUC